ensembl:lncRNA
CUUUGUAGGACUCCGGACAUUGGAAUGAACUCUUAGUAUACGUGUAUUUAUAUGGUAGGCAGCAAAUGCUUCAGCCGCCGGCGGGCUGCAUGAGCUCUGUUUGUGCUCUACUGAGAACUGUCCACGAUGCUAAUUAACACUUAUUUAAUUUUUUACCAAGGAAGGCACGUGUGCCACUCACAGCAGUGAGGAGGAGCUCAUGGCCCUGCGAGAGGGGAGAUGGACUGACCCUCACUCUGCAUUGUUCCCAGGCUUUUCUGGGACUUCUAAAGUAGCCACACAUCUGUUGUUUUCAUCAAAGUGAAUGCAGGCAAGGGCAGGAUAAGGGAAGUUAUUUUCCUCUUCCAUUUUAUCUUUCGGUUUUAAAUCUGUAGGUUUCUCACUCUUAGCUUCCUUGUGACUGCAUUGUCCUGACGAUUGGCACUUAGCAAUUAAAAAAAGGAAAGAAACAAGCAGGACUUAACAAAGAACAGUUUCUUAAAUGUACUUUUCUCUUGGAUUGAAGGAUGUUACUCGGAGAAGUGAAGGGGCUUUUGUUGUGUCCGUGUCCAUCCCCACCUCUACAGAAGUCAUACAGCCGUGUUACGCCCUGCGGGAGGGAUCCCCCAGCGACCAGCCAACACUGCUCUCAGGUUCUGAUGGACUUCUACCACCAAGGAAUCACUUGGGCUUUUUGGGGAAUAAGAACUGAACUCGCAAUUGAUUUGCUCAGGCAGAACUUUCUGGCAUUUACUUUACGUAGGGAAUUUUUGCUUUGGUUUUGUUUGGUCACAAACGACCGAUUACUCUGUGUCAAGAGCAGGAUCUCUGUGAAAUUUACUUUGACUCAUUCGUAAUGCCUUAUUUUCUUUAUAUUUUUAUGCCUAGCAUUCAUGUUUCUCAGAGUAAGUGUCCAGCCACGCACAGCACAUCUGGAGGAGAUGCUCUUUUCUGUCUUGGAGGUCUGAACGAGUGGAAAUUGAGAGAUAAAGACUUGAGGUUACUCUGUCUGUCUAUGAAUUACUGUGCUUAUCUCUAGCAUCCACAGCUCUGGGACAAUCCUGCUGUCAAGAGGAAUACGCUUAGCAGGAUAAACUGUAUACCGAGCAACUCAACUGGAAUUUUUGGUGUGCACUGUGAUUGACACUUAAACCUACAGCAAGCAAUAUGGCAGACUGAAGAACUUCUCCUCUUCUGCGUGGCCUGGGCUCAUCCAGCCAGCAGGAAACGCACACAUAUAGGGGGGACUCGAGAAGGAAACUUGUAGCUCAGCUGCUUCGCUCCGUGAGCAUCCCAGGCUGAGCAUCGUUGCCAUCGUGGUUUGCUGCCAUGGGGGCACCGUGGAGGUGUCACUCUUCCUUCCUACCCUCGUGUCCAGAAGAAAUACUUGCUCUUCCAUGGAAAUCCUGUCAUGACUUUCGUGUGAUGUGUGUGUCGGAUAUAAAGACAAGCAGUGUUUGAUAACUGGAAUCACGUAUGUCUGUUUGAUAGUGCUGUGUAUGAACAAAGGGUUCUUGUUCAUCAGAUGUUGGAUUCAAGUAAUCCAAAGCAAAACUUGUAAAACAAAACACGGUUUUAGGUGAUCAGUCUUAAUAGUUCUGGAAGCUGUAACCUCUGAUGUGUUAUUUCCCUUGUUGGGAACUGAGCAGUGUGCUUUCAUGGUUGCUAAGUUUCUGCCUCUCUGAGGCAAUCCAAAGGCUCUCAGUUAUCUCUUGUACCCGUGUUCUUCGUGUCAGAGCAAUGGGACCUGAACCAACUCUCUCACUUGAUCCGUACUGCCUAUUUUCUUGCAAUGAAAAUGAUGAAAUAAUCAGAGUGCACUGUGACAGCAGAAAAAAACCAUGUUGUGUAUGUAUGUAUUUUGAUACCUGUUGAAAAGGAGUCUUUGGGUUUCCUGUGAUGAAUACCUCAUAUGUUGAAUUGUUUUGGGUUUUUGUUGAACUGUUAUUAUUAUUUUUUUCUUAAGGCAAGAUUGUUCUUGCUCAAAAGUAGGUUAAGGUAACCAAGUUCUCAUAAAUUUAUUUACAGAAUCGAAACCCUUUGGAGUUUGGCAAGAAAUUCCAUCUGCUCCAGUUCCUCUCUGGAGUCAUACUGAGGCUAUGGAGGUCCAUGCAGAUGGAGUUUGCUGCCUCGCUUCUUUCCUCCCGUGUGUCAGAACCUCAGAUUCAGUUGAACGUUGGGUGUGCUUUGGGUUUUGCUGAGCAUUUGAGGGAUGGUCUUCACGAUGUCUCCAGGUAGCACUUCAGACCCUUUGCAUCGAUGUACCUGAUAGACUGGAAUGCUCUGCGUGCAGAGGGAAGGCUUGGGGCAGGUGGUGGUUCUCAGCAGUGCGUGGUUUGCUCGUCAGGCAGCUGUGGUGAUGGAGAAAGGCCCAUAGGGGACAACUGGAGGGGCUCCUUGGCUGGUGGGCAGCGUGGGGUCCCCCUGCGUGGCAGGAUCCAGCCCUGACCGCAUGGAGAUGCUCUGCAAUGAGCAGAUGCCUUUCCUCACUGCUCUAUGAACCAAGGGGGAAAAGAAAGAACGUGGGAACCUUUAGGCACUCCCAUCGCUAACGGGGCUGAACGAGUCGAACAAACGAGGGCUUUAUUUAUUGUGAGGUUUUUAGUUGUAGCCUUUUUCGCUGGCUUCGCUGGCAGCCAUGGGGCCAUGGCUGGAGGUGCUGAGCUCUGAUGGGCCGUGCUGAGCUUUGGGUCUGAGCUCACACAUCACCUUCUGAGAACCCUCCCUCCGGAUCCGCUCCCGCUCGUCUCUCCAUUUCCUGGUACUUGAAACCAAUACUUGACCACAGCGGUGCUGGGCAGGGCUCAGUUCUUGGGGUCUUUGGGUGCACCCGGAGAUACCAACGCAGCAACUCAAGGCCUGAACAAUGAUUUCCUUUUUCCUUUUUGUGCUUCCUAUGACAUGGUCGGAGACGAAGGCGUCGUUCCUUGAUGAUGGGCCAAAAAGAGGCGAGGGCAGCUCCCUGCUGUGCUGAUACUUGAGAUACCACGCUUGGUACAGGGUAAACACCGAGCGGUUUGCAAUGGAAACGAGAGGAGGAUCCUUCACUUAAAGGCACUGUAGUAACUUUAUGCUUGAAGCGGACUUCACCCUUCCUUUCUCUUCAGGCACAGCCCUGUGGUUGAAUAAAUGAAGUCCGAUGGACUUGGACUCGUGUGCGCGUGCCAAACUGCUGGAGCAAUACUUGGAGCAGCAGGUUCUGUACCAGCCCAGCUCUAUGUAGCCAAAACAGGGCCAACGCUGAAACCACCUGCGAUGCACAUUGAACAGCAGCCACGUUACGGUUCGACUGUACUGGAGUAGAAAAUCUGACUGCAAAGUCUGGAAACUGCAUUCUGUUGGCCCAAAGCCCCAGUCCUGCAAUGGGCUCUGCGUUGGGCUUUUGGGUUUUGUUUGGUGGGAUGGGGUGUUCUUGCUUCAACAGUUUCCAUUGUUUCAUGUCUUCUACACCAAUAUAUAUAUGGUGUAUAUAUUAAACCGUGUAAAGUUGUACUUUGUAUAUAUAACUGUACAAUAUGGAGGUACAUCCUUUUUUUUUUCCCCCCCCCCUUUGGUACAGUAUUGUACAGUAUUUAGGAGUAUAUGUGUUGGAGAUGUUAAAUCCGUACUGGGGCUACGAACUGUAUUCAUUGUCAUUAGCAAUAGUUUUGGAGAAAUAAAUGUUUUGGGUAUGGUGGAAAUGCUGACCUAUGGGUGCCAAUGAAUGAUGUAUGGAGUGAGUGCAGCGGGUGGGCACGUGUGCCCAUGGGUGCAGGGGUUGGAAGGAGAGGAGGAUGAGGUUUGUCCUCGUGUGUCUUCUGCAGGCAGCACAGCCUUGUCCUGAGUGCUGGGCAUGGCCACGUGGCACUGUGUGAGCCGUGUGUCCC